UGAUGCUGGGGCGGUUGAUGUUGAAUAAAGCUGCCCAAAUUUCCCCGCAAAAAAAAAAAGUCCCAGGAAGGAUGUGACAUUUUCUCAAAAAGAAAAAUUCCCCACACACGGCGAUGGAGCCCGCCGCCGACGACCUCCUCGCCGCUCUCUCCUCCCCCUGCUCCGGCGCCGGUCUUCACGCCCGCUUCGCCGCCUACCUCCAGCCCUUCUCCCCGUACCUGCUCGCCGCGAACCCUAACAACCCCAGGCCACCGCCCAAGAGGAUGACGAAGCAGCCCACGCAGCAGCCGACCGACGCGGCCGCCGUCCGCCCCCUCUCGAAGCGGUUCCUCCCGUUCCUCUACCGCGCGCUCCAGCUCCUACGCUCGAACCCUAGCUCGGCCGCCGACGAGCUGCUCGAGAUCUACGGCCUCGUCCUCGACUGCCUGGACGCCAUCUCGGCGUGCCUCGCCGGGAAGCCCUACUCCGUGCUGCUCCAGCGCGGCCACUUCGUGCGCUGUCUCAGUUGCGCGGCCACUACGCGCGCGCCGAGGCGGAGGCCGCCGCCACCCUCGACGCCCUCCGCUGCGCGCUCUCGCCGACGCCGAUGACCGCCCUUGGGGCCGCGUCCCUCCUCCCCGAGCCUGCAGGCGUUGCAGGGGAGGACCCUGAAAUCACCACACUCGCGGUUGAGCUCACCGUGUGCCUUGCUAAUUGUGCCAGCAAGGGCAAGGUGAAGGAAGCCGCACCGUAUCAACGGCUCCUCGUCCUUGUUGACCAGCUUCGCCCAUGGCUCCGGAUUCUGACCGAGGAGUCCAGCAGGAAGCAUCUCACUCUGCUUGUGAAUGCACUGAGCCGUUGUGCUAUUUUCCUUGCUGCCGAAUCUCUGUUUUUCAAUGAAAAGCUUGUGCACAAGUUCUGUGUUGCAACCUUACAGGAGUGUGAGAAGCCACAAAUGAUCGAACACUUGCCCGCUGUUGCACGCGUGAUCUGUUCUUCUGUAGAUUUGAGUUGGGGAGGGAGCACACAUCUUUUGCUUGGUGUGUUGAAGAUUGCUGUUUCACAUGUCAAGGAUGACUUACCGAAAGCUGUAAACGAGUUCCUGAAAUUUGUAGCAUAUUUUUUCCGAAGCUUUCUUUCUUCAAAUAGGAAUGUAUGUGCUGGUGCUUCAGAACUACUUUUACAAGGUGGUUAUUUUCCCGAGAUUUCCGCGCCCAUCGCCUCAGUUCUCCAUCUCUAUGCUACUGUAUUACGCUUCAGUACACAGCAAAUAGAAAGCGAAGAUCACCUGACCAUGGCAGUGAAUUUUCUCAAGAAUGAAAAGAAUCUACAAACUUUGAACACUGCACUUGACACACUAGCACGGAUUUUCUGUGUCAGCGAUGGCAAAUCCAAUCAACGUGAUAGUUUGGGGAAAUAUGCAAGUCGUCGAACAGACGCCGGACAUCCCAAUAAGAAACAUACUUAUAGUUAUUCUCAGUCACAUGAGCAUAUUUAUUUUGUGGCGUAUCUUGAUUCUUUGGAGUUCCUUUGCAAGAUACUAUUAUUGCAGCAUGCAGAUGUGGUUUGGGAGAACUUCUCUAAAGGAAAAACAGUCCCCAAUUUGGGAAACAUGACUUGUGUCUUAAUGGCACUGGACCAAUUCAUUGAUUCCAGCUUUGUUGCUUAUAGUUGUACGAAAAGGUCUGAAGAAGAGGAGGAGAGAUUGCAUAAACAACGUGUAACCUUAAUGAAUACCCUAGUUUCAGCGAUCAAAAUUUCCUUUGUGACCAACGAGGCUACCCAGAAGAGCUUGUCUUCUAUCAGUUGUGCCAUUUCAAGUACAUGGAUAAAGCUUGAUGAGCUCAAAUUUUUAAUCCAUUCCAUCAGUAACAUUGGUGCGACACUUUAUAAUAUUGGACAUCUUGAAGAGGCACCAAAGGCAUUAGAACUAUGCUGUCAAACAACAUGGGCAUACGCCAGACUUUCUUACUGUAGACUAUCAGCAAGAACGGAAGGUCACAUCAUUACUGAGGAUCUACCAAAAGAUACACUGAAGGAUAUCAUUACAGCUGCAUUUGCAAGGAUAACAAAGAUGGUUGGCAUUCUCGAUAGAUGUGGCUCAAAAGCGAUACGUGGUAUUAUUGUGAAGAGCCUGUCUGAAUUUUUUGUUUAUGGUGACACAUCUGAUUAUCACGAAAGCUAUUUGGCUCUGAUAAAGUUAUGGGUGAAGAUAACACUUAAGGAUUUUGAAGAUUACCAACGAGUGGAUAGUGCUCCUCUUCUCUAUCACUCUCUUAUGGGCUGCUCGCCUCCCUUGCCAAUGAAGUUCAUAGGCUUAAUCGUAGAGCAGGAAUUAUUAGCAUAUGGAGAAUCUCGUGUGACCAUGCUCUGUGCAAAUAUGCAACAUAGAAUAGUAGAUAUUCUAUUGAAUGAAAUAUAUUGUUCAAAAGAAUAUUAUCUGGACAGAUCAAAGGUUUUAGUUAGGAAGGCAUGUAUACUCCGUGGAUCUGGGGUGCAAAACAUAAGCAACUGUCUUGAGUCCUUAUCUGAAGCCAUAUCUUUACUGCAAGGCAUCUUACUGGAUUCAUCUCAAGGCAAUGCAAUUGUGAUCCAUGAAUUGGCUAUUGCAUAUUGCCUGCAUGCACAUUGUGCCCAGGAAGCCAAUCAUGGCGGCAAGGUAAUCUUUGAUAAUGCUAGGAGUGUUGUUGGCCUGUGGUCAAAGAUGGGUACUUUGGAUCAUUGUUCUCCUGGUGGGAUCUUUCAGCAGCAAUCCAAAACUCUUGUACCACUUCUUUGUUCCCUGGUUGAUUUGCUGGCAAUGAAGGGCUGCUUUGAGCUUCAGUUUGAACUGUGCAAGCUUAUCAUAAUGAUAUGGAAGCAAGAAAACUUACCCCUAGAAAAGUUAUUCUCCAUGUUAUUUAUCAACGGGCGCCUUAAUCAUGCGUGCUGUCAUCUCCCAAUGGACCAGAAUUUUGUUUCUUAUGUGGCACGGUAUCUUGGUGUUGAUUGCCACAAUACAAUAUUUUGGAGAAACUGUUUCAAAGAAGAUUAUCCUUCUCUUACUAUGUUUCUUCAGCGGCUGUGGCCUGUUGAUUUCUUUUCUCAAUCAUGUGAACACUCCUUUGGAAAUCAGUUUGGUUUCAAUGCUAGUGUUGAUGAGAUUGAUAAAGUUGCAUCAUCUCUGGUUUCUGAAGGUCCUUCGGGCAAUCAAUCAACCUAUCUGGCUGGCUGUAUAUACUAUGAUUUGUCAGAAAGACUUCUGUCAAGAGGAUAAGUUCUCCAGGCCAUUUCAUAUGGAAGAGAAGCUCUCCAAUUGCGCAAGAAGCUCCUAAAAAAGAAGUUCAAAUUUAAUUUGGGCAAAUUUGUAAGUGGGGAAAGCCAAUAUUCUGGUGGGCAAGGCUUUGUUUCACUUGAAGCAUGGGGACCAACGAUGGCUGGAAUCUGGCCAGAUUGCACCAGGCCAAGCAGCAUGAGAGAUUCUUUCCUUACCCCAUGGAAUGUACUUAGAUGUUAUCUUGAGAGCAUAUUACAGGUUGCUGUGAUGCAUGAAUUGAUUGGCAAUGGUGCCGAAGCAGAAGUUUUAUUACGGAUAGGAAAGGAGAUAUCAUCUUUCCAAGGACUACCAAUUUUUGCUGUUGUCUUUACAUCAGUGUUAGGUCAAAUAUACCACAAGAGACAGCUAUGGGAUGCCGCUGAGGGUGAGCUUAAACAUGCUAAGGACCUCCUUGCAGAAAAUGAUGAAUUCAUUUCAUGCAAGACAUGCAAGUUGACUCUGCCGAUAUCAGUUGAUGUGCAAGCUGGAGAUCUGUCUUGGAAUCUCUUUGAGAAAGACUUGCAGAAACAAUCAACAGGCAAUUUGUCUAGUGCUUUAGGCAUGUAUCAAUCUGCCGUGGAGAAAUUGAAUAACUCUGGUUUGGAUUUUUCUGCUGGAUCCUGUGAUAAAGUUAAUACUAGUUGUAUGUUGUACAGCAAAGAUUCUAUUGCAGAAACCAAGCGUGGAGCUUGUAAUAAUGGGAAAGAACCCUUAGCAGCCAAGGAUGGAGUUUUACCUCCAUGUACUCCUUGUUUGUUGUUCAGUCAGGUACCUAUUGACCAGUACGAUGAACUUGUGGGAUUAAAAUCUGAAAGGGAGAAUUUGAAGAGUGCCGAAAGUGCUCCACCAUUGGAUGUUAAAGUUAAGAGGGCAUCUGGAACUUCAUUACGUUUAGCUAAAGAACAGAAUGUGUCAGCUCAUGCAAAGACUAGAACCACCCGAUCUAGUAAGCGAACUGCACAUGUGAAAAGUGAAAAAGACUUGGCUGAACUGAAUAGCAAAAAUGACAUAUCUUAUAGCAAGGAAUUGUCCACAGAUGGUUUGGUCUGUGGGAAGCUAAACUGUUCCCUUGAUGGUGUUGGCCGCAACAGAGAUGACAUAUGCAAUAUGUUUGGAUGUUGGAGCUGCCUUUUUGUUAAUUCACUCAAUUUUGAGUGCAUUGAGAAUAUACUGCAGUUCAGAGAAGACUGCAUUCGCCGACGCCAUCUUGUGUCGCUUCUGUUAAAGACAGCAAGAACCUUGGGAGCUCAGGGUGGAAAACAUGGAGCUCAUGAAGUUCAUAGUAUCUACUGGCAGUGCAUAUCAUUGUUGUAUUUCAGAUCUCUUCCUCAAGGGUGUUAUAGAACAUAUGGGCCUCGUUUAGUUGAACUGAUCAUGAAUGAAAAUACUGGUGAUUUUCUUUCUUUAGAGCGUGCAGAAAUACUAUGUAGUAUGAGUUCCUUUUUGCUGAAGGGUUUCCUUUCAGAACAGUCAAGGGAUGGUUGCUGCAGCUUCUGUAGUGUACAAAUGUCUGAUGUUGUUUCAUGGUUGCUGAAAGCUUUUGUGCUAUCUGGAGAGAGUCCUUCACUUCUCCAGGAGGUUUGCAGGCUACUUACAUGCAUAUUCUUACUAUCAACGAUAGAUUCCACGGUCCAAUUACCUUUGUAUUCCAAGGGAUCUCUCUCUUUGAAUCAUUGGGCCGCAUACUUCCACCAAACUUCUGUUGGAACUUAUCUCAAUUGCCAUUACCUUGCGAGCUUACAAGCAUUGCCCAGAAAAACAGAAUCGAAGGGUGUCACUGGAGAUCUCACAGACAAGACAGAUGAAGUUCCAAAGUUUCUAAGGUUUUCAUCGGCAGGCAUGGAACAUCUUGAAAAGCAUGUGAUUGAAUUCUUCCAUGAACUUCCUGAUGUACCAAUUGUGUGCAUUAGUAUGCUUGGAGGUGAUAUUGUGAAUGUUCUUGGGGAAACACUUCUUCUCCCUUCCCCUUUUCCUGCUUGGAUGUUGAUCUCAAGGUUUGAUUCAACAAACAAGCCUACCACGAUGCUUCUACCAGUGGAUCCUAUUUCGAAAGAAGCAGAGAAUGGAGACUCUUCUAUCAAAGAACUGGAUAAUCCAACUAGAACAUCAGAUAAGGAAUGGAAGUGCCCUUGGAGCUACACUAUAAUAGACUAUGUGGCUCCAACUUUCAAAAAGCUACUUGAGGAUAACUUUAGAUCCCUCUCUGGUGCGACCCACAUUCCAGAGGAUGGAAAAGCAAACGCCAUAAGGUGGUGGUCAGAUAGAAUGAAGCUCAAUGAUGACCUUAGUGAGAUGUUGGAAAACAUUGAAGAAUUGUGGCUAGGACCCUGGAAAUGCCUUCUCCUGGGCCACCAAUUAGCUGACCAACAUAGCAAGGCAGUGCUGGAAAAUCUAUUCACUGCUCUGGAGUCAGAAUUUAAACUUGAAGUAGAUCCAGCACUCAUCAAGGUCAUCCUUGGUGGGGUUGCAUCAGUGGAUGAAUUGAAAGAAUGUGUUUCUCAACUUAUAUCAUACAAAAGUUACUUUGGCAGGGGAGGGUGUUGCGGAAGAGAUAGACUUAGAGCCUUCUGUUGCCAGACUGAUGGUGAAGCUCUGGUGACCCUCGAGCAUUUGUGCAAUGGUAUAGUGGAUGAGCUAUCUGAGCCAAUUGAAAGAAAUCCGGUCAUUUUAGUCCUGGAUACUGAUGUGCAGAUGCUUCCUUGGGAGAACUUGCCUGCUUUAAGGAAUCAAGAAAUAUACCGCAUGCCAUCAAUGAGAAGCAUCUUUCUAGCAUUGACUAGAAGCACUAAUCAUCACAAAGAUGCCAGUGCCAUGGCCCCUCCUUUUCCUGUUAUUGACCCUUUCGAUGCAUUCUAUCUGUUGAAUCCUAGUGGUGAUUUGAUCAGCACACAAGAAGAAUUUUAUCAGUUGUUUAGAAACUAUGAGUGGAAGGGAAAUGCUGGGGAUGCUCCAACAGCUGAAGAGCUCGUCUUGGCCCUGAGGAAUCAUGAUCUUUUUCUCUACUUUGGACAUGGAAGUGGAAGUCAAUAUGUCUCUGGAAAGGAAAUUGAGAAGUUAGAUAACUGCGCAGCUGCUCUUCUUAUGGGUUGCAGUAGUGGGACACUUCAUUGCAAAGGCGGUUAUGCUCCUCAAGGGGCACCUUUGUCUUAUUUAUUUGCUGGUUCUCCUUCUGUCAUUGCAAAUCUCUGGGACGUCUCGGAUAAAGAUAUCGAUCGAUUUAGUAAAGCAUUGCUGAAUUCAUGGUUGCAAGAAAAAUUUAAGGCCGCCAAGAAUUGCCCUAAAUGUUGCCGCCCACUAACACAAGAAUUUGAGUCCACAACGAUUGCUGCAAAGGAUAAUGGUAGGCCAAGACGAAAAGGUACACGACAAGGUCAGAAGCAGCAGCAGACAGGAGAGAUAGAUGGCAGUAGUAACUGCUGUAAUUGCAGGCACAGGAGAAUAGCUACGCAUAUAAGUGAAGCUAGGCGUGCUUGCAGGCUUCCGCUUAUGAUCGGCGCAUCUCCUGUUUGUUACGGUGUGCCUACUAUCAUCAGGAAGAAGUAAUGGUCUGAGCUUUAAGGGCUCAUUUGGUUGUUGGGAACAGAAAAUCCUGGGUAGUAAACCCCUGAAGUGGGAUUUCCCUGCCCAUACGGGAUCCCCUCCCACUAUGUGAAAAUACCCAUUGACAUUUGGACAUCAAGGGGGAGGGAAGAGAAAUCCCCCGUAGGCAAUAUCAGAAUGUGAAAUCUCGUAGCCCAGAUCUAAUGGAAUCUUAGGAAACCAUGGGAGCAGAGGAAGGGAGGGAGAGGAGAAGGAGAUGGAUGAAAUCAAGUAGGUGAUUCUCACCAAGUGGAACAGAAGCAACCAUUGUUGUAGCUUGAGGAGGGGUGGAUGCUGGAGGGGGUCGGACUGAUGGAGGACGUAGGCCGUUGAGGGCAUUCGGACGCGGAGUAGGUCCCGUGAGCCAUGGCGUCUGAGGUCGCCAGAAAGAGGCAGAGGACCGGAGGCGGAGGAGCUCGUGUCGUCGCGUCGUGAGAGACAGGGAGAAAUCUUCUGGUGUGUGGAGGUAGGGGUCAGCAGCCCGGGGAUUUCGCGGGGAUCGGGCCGAGAAAUCCCUUUUCCCCGAUGACACCAAAUGGGCCGCUGGAAAAACCGGGUUGAAGAUGCCAGGCGGGUCUCUCGCCCGGGGAAAUGACGAGGAUCCCGGGGGGAUCCCGUGGAACCAAACGAGCCCUAAUGGGAGAUGAUUGAUGAUUGGCUGCUGUAGUUGUGGGCCUUGAGCCAUCGAUUCCGAUUCCAGCUGCACGGCACCGACGGAAAGUGCCAUGAUAGGCAUGGCAUUGCAGUCUCAAAUGUGCUCAUGACAUGUUUAUGCUGUUGUUUGUACGGAGUACUUACCGCAGCAAAUGCAUAAGUAACAAGAUGAUGCCCUGGAUCCGUUGUUGUACUAGAGUUGUGGACUGGCCGUCCAUUCUGAUGUGAUUCAGUGCACCAAAGGUUACAUAAUACGAGUAAAAAUUGUUAGGUCAUACAUGUGCUUCAAAAUGUAAUUCUGAGCGCAUAUGUUGCGGGAAAUCAGUAGCAUGUAGAGCAAAUUGGUAAUUGUUUGUAUUGUUUUGUACACAAUAGAUUACUUGUGAUUCUUUUCGUUAUACUAGUACAGUACAACCUUUAACCUGAACUGCCUGCCAGAAUGCUAACCCUUUUCUAUUUA